rnacentral:rRNA from 1 species
CCCUUAGACGUUCUGGGCCGCACGCGCGCUACACUGACCAGUGCAACAAGCAUCCGUCCUUGGCCGACAGGCUCGGGCAAUCUUUGAACGCUGGUCGUGAUGGGGAUAGACUUUUGCAAUUUUUGGUCUUCAACGAGGAAUUCCUAGUAAACGCAAGUCAUCAACUUGCAUUGAUUACGUCCCUGCCCUUUGUACACACCGCCCGUCGCACCUACCGAUUGAAUGGUCCGGUGAAGCCUCCGGAUUGGCGCGCACCUCGGUGCCGCCGAGAAGUUGGCUAAACCUUACCAUUUAGAGGAAGGUGAAAUCGUAACA